GCGGGGAAUAGCCCAGAGAAAAUUUGGAUUAAUACCCCAUAAUAUAUUUGAUAAGGCAUCUUAUUAAUAUUAAAGCUUCGGCACUUGAUGAUGGGUGCGCGGCUGAUUAGAUAGUUGGCGGGGUAAGGCCCACCAAGUCUACGAUCAGUAGCUGAUGUGAGAGCAUGAUCAGCCACACGGGCACUGAGACACGGGCCCGACUCCUACGGGAGGCAGCAGUAAGGAAUAUUGGACAAUGGACGAAAGUCUGAUCCAGCCAUGCCCGCGUGAAGGAUUAAGGUCCUCUGGAUUGUAAACUUCUUUAUAUGGGACGAAAAAGGGCAUUCUUGUUCACUUGACGGUACCAUAUGAAUAAGCACCGGCUAACUCCGUG
rnacentral:rRNA from 1 species